rnacentral:SRP_RNA from 1 species
ACUGGGCAUGGUGGCACGUGCCUGCAGUCCCAGCUACUAGGGAGGCUGAGUGGCAAGAUGGCUUGGAACCAGGAGUUCCGGGCUGUGGUGCGCUAUGCCAACCAGGUGCCUGGAUUAAGUUCGACAUCAAUAUGGUGACCUCCUGGGAUCGAGGGACCACCAGGUUGCCUAAAGAGGGCUGAACUGGCCCACAUUGGAAAUGGAGCAGGUCCAGACUCCCAUGUUGAUCAGUAGUGGGAUCAUGACUGUGAAUAGCCACUGCACUCCAGCCUGGAAAAUAUAGCUAGAUCCUGUCACA